GGCAAAUAUACCGCAUGUUUGCGCGUAUCUAUAUUUCGUUUCUUAAUAUUGUUAGGUACCUAUCUCGAAAGUCGCGGUAUCAAACAAAUAAAAUACGUAGAUAAGUAUAUAUUUACUCAACACUAGGGUGCAGAUGCGAAUGUUCUAAAAGACAAGAAAAAUGCUUUAAAUCGAUAAAUAGCCUAUCGUUUUCUUUAUUGCAACCUGC